CUUUUCCAUGAUGGCGUUUUCACCCAUAACAAGGUUAUUGUACUAUUCUCUGUAUGUUACCUUCAUCCUUGGAAAUCGCCUUCAGAUGCCGGAGAUACCUUUAGCAAGAUCCUUUUUUCCAGAAAACCUGUUUCUUUCCUCUCUUUCCCAAUUAGCCAGCCUGAAUGAAUUCUACAUUUAUAACUGGUUUCUCCGUAGAAUUUGGUCUGUGACCACAGAGCAAACAGCAAGACCAGGGACACAAGGUAGAGAAGAGUGAGUGGAAAACAUCUCAUCUGAUCUCUACACGGGUGUCUGGCCGAGGGUGAGUCUUCAAGAGGGCGGGACAUUAACGCUGUGAUGUGAAGCUCUGCCGGUGUUUUUCUACAGUUCACACAAUCACCAGAAAGCCCGUGUCUUGGCACCAGAACCUGGAGGAACCUGCAGACGAUGGGGCCGGGAGUGGAGACCUCAUACCGUGCCGAUGGAGACAGACAAGUAGCCAGGUUCCUAAAUCUUAUCCACCAGGCCGCUCAGGGGCCACGGAAGAGAUACCCAGACACGCAAACAGAAAGCCCAGAAAUUGGACGGGACUCUGAGGCCUAGGAGUGUGUGCUGAGCCCCUGGGGUGCGCUGGCCCAGGCCCCACGGACUCUGAACCCAGGUUGCCCUCCCUCCCCGGGGGUUGCCUUCUGAUGCCCACCAUCUCCUCUCGGGUCAGCCCGGAAUGUGACG